rnacentral:rRNA from 1 species
GGGGAAUUUUCCGCAAUGGGCGAAAGCCUGACGGAGCAAUACCGCGUGAGGGAGGACGGCUUUUGGGUUGUAAACCUCUUUCAUCAGGGAAGAAACAAAUGACGGUACCUGAUGAAUCAGCAUCGGCUAACUCCGUGCCAGCAGCCGCGGUAAUACGGAGGAUGCAAGCGUUAUCCGGAAUUAUUGGGCGUAAAGCGUCCGUAGGUGGUUGUUCAAGUCUGCUGUCAAAGCGUGGAGCUUAACUCCAUACCGGCAGUGGAAACUGGGCGACUAGAGUGCGAUAGGGGUAACGGGAAUUCCCAGUGUAGCGGUGAAAUGCGUAGAGAUUGGGAAGAACACCAGCGGCGAAAGCGCGUUACUGGGUCUGCACUGACACUGAGGGACGAAAGCUAGGGGAGCGAAAGGGAUUAGAUACCCCCGUAGUCCUAGCCGUAAACGAUGGAUACUAGGUGUGGUUCGUAUCGACCCGAGCCGUGCCGGAGCUAACGCGUUAAGUAUCCCGCCUGGGGAGUACGCACGCAAGUGUGAAACUCAAAGGAAUUGACGGGGGCCCGCACAAGCGGUGGAGUAUGUGGUUUAAUUCGAUGCAACGCGAAGAACCUUACCAAGGCUUGACAUGUCGCGAACCUUCUUGAAAGGGAAGGGUGCCUUCGGGAGCGCGAACACAGGUGGUGCAUGGCUGUCGUCAGCUCGCGUCGUGAGAUGUUGGGUUAAGUCCCGCAACGAGCGCAACCCACGUUUUUAGUUGCCAGCAUUCAGUUGGGCACUCUAGAGAGACUGCCGGUGACAAACCGGAGGAAGGUGUGGAUGACGUCAAGUCAGCAUGCCCCAUACGCCUUGGGCUACACACGUACUACAAUGCUACGGACAGAGGGACGCCAGCCCGCGAGGGUGAGCAAAUCUCGUAAACCGUGGCUCAGUUCAGAUUGCAGGCUGCAACUCGCCUGCAUGAAGGCGGAAUCGCUAGUAAUCGCCGGUCAGCAUACGGCGGUGAAUACGUUCCCGGGCCUUGUACACACCGCCCGUCACACCAUGGGAGUUGGUCAUGCCCGAAGUCGUUACUCCAACCAUUCGUGGAGGGGGACGCCGAAGGUGGGGCUGAUGACUGGGGUGAAGUCGUAACAAGGUAGCCGUACCGGAAGGUGUGGCUGGAUCACCUCCUU